UACGUAGGGGGCUAGCGUUGUCCGGAAUCAUUGGGCGUAAAGAGCGUGUAGGCGGCUUGGUAAGUCCGCUGUGAAAGUCCAGGGCUUAACCCUGGAAAGCCAGUGGAAACUGUCAAGCUAGAGUCCGGAAGAGGUGAGUGGAACUCCCGGUGUAGCGGUGAAAUGCGCAGAUAUCGGGAAGAACACCCGUGGCGAAGGCGGCACUCUGGGACGGUACUGACGCUGAGACGCGAAAGCGUGGGGAGCGAACAGG
rnacentral:rRNA from 1 species